rnacentral:rRNA from 1 species
GCAGAACGCGAAGAACCUUACCUGGGCUAGAAAGCGCAAGAACCUCGGUGAAAACUGAGGGUGCCCUUCGGGGAACUUGUGAUUAGGUGCUGCAUGGCUGUCGUCAGCUCGUGUCGUGAGAUGUUGGGUUAAGUCCCGCAACGAGCGCAACCCUUGCUGUUAGUUGUCCACUAAUUAAGUUAGGGUCGACUCUAACAAGGACGUGCCGACCCUUUAACGUUACGGAGGAAGGUAGGGGGAGUGACGUCAAGUACCUCAUGGCCCGUUACCGUCCAGGGCGUACACACGUGCUACAAUAGAACGGUACAAAGGGUACGCGAAACCGUAGAGGUGGAGCCAAUCCCAAAAACGACCGUUCUCAGUACGGAUAAGAGUCUGCAACUCGACUCUUUGAAGGCGGAAUCGCUAGUAAUCCCUGAUCAGCAUAGCAGGGGUGAAUACGUUCCCGGGUCUUGUACACACCG